rfam:Strongylocentrotus purpuratus Contig58378_fixed, whole genome shotgun sequence.
GGCAUGGCGGCUCAGUGGUAAGUGCGCCCGCCUCAAGAACGGGAGGUCGUGGGUUCGAACCCCGGCCGAGUCA